rnacentral:rRNA from 1 species
UACGGGGGGGGCAAGCGUUGUUCGGAAUUACUGGGCGUAAAGGGUCUGUAGGUGGCCAACUAAGUCAGACGUGAAAUCCCUCAGCUUAACUGGGGAACUGCGUCUGAUACUGGUUGGCUUGAGUGCAGGAGAGGAAUGCGGAAUUCCAGGUGUAGCGGUGAAAUGCGUAGAUAUCUGGAGGAACACCUGUGGCGAAAGCGGCGCACUGGACCACAUCUGACGCUGAGGCGCGAAAGCUAGGGGAGCAAACAGG